CCUGAUCCCUUUCCGAACUCAGAAGUGAAACUACAACACGCCGAUGAUAGUCUGGCUCUUGCCCAGGUGAAAGUAGGUAGUCGCCAUCU
rnacentral:rRNA from 1 species